rnacentral:rRNA from 1 species
AUUGAACGCUGGCGGCAGGCUUAACACAUGCAAGUCGAGCGGGGAAAAGUAGCUUGCUACUGGACCUAGCGGCGGACGGGUGAGUAAUGCUUAGGAAUCUGCCUAUUAGUGGGGGACAACGUUCCGAAAGGGACGCUAAUACCGCAUACGUCCUACGGGAGAAAGCAGGGGAUCUUCGGGCCUUGCGCUAAUAGAUGAGCCUAAGUCGGAUUAGCUAGUUGGUGGGGUAAUGGCCUACCAAGGCGACGAUCUGUAGCGGGUCUGAGGGGAUGAUCCGCCACACGGGGACUGAGACACGGCCCAGACUCCUACGGGAGGCAGCAGUGGGGAAUAUUGGACAAUGGGGGGAACCAUGAUACAGCCAUGCCGCGUGUGUGAAGAAGGCCUUUCGGUUGUAAAGCACUUUAAGCGAGGAGGAGGCUACCGAGAUUAAUACUCUUGGAUAGUGGACGUUACUCGCAGAAUAAGCACCGGCUAACUCUGUGCCAGCCGCCGCCGUAACAC